rnacentral:rRNA from 1 species
AUUGAACGCUGGCGGCAUGCUUUACACAUGCAAGUCGAACGGCAGCACGGGUGCUUGCACCUGGUGGCGAGUGGCGAACGGGUGAGUAACACAUCGGAACGUACCUGAUAGUGGGGGAUAACGCUUCGAAAGGAGUGCUAAUACCGCAUAAGCCCUGAGGGGGAAAGUGGGGGACCGGAAACGGCCUCACGCUAACAGAGCGGCCGAUGGCUGAUUAGCUAGUUGGUGGGGUAAAGGCUCACCAAGGCGACGAUCAGUAGCGGGUCUUAGAGGACGAUCCGCCACACUGGAACUGAGACACGGUCCAGACUCCUACGGGAGGCAGCAGUGGGGAAUCUUGGACAAUGGGCGCAAGCCUGAUCCAGCAAUGCCGCGUGGGUGAAGAAGGUCUUCGGAUUGUAAACUCCUUUUGUCGGUGAAAAACAUUUGCGUGAAUAACGUAAACUGAUUGUAUCCGGCGAAUAAGCCACGGCUAACUUCGUGCCAGCAGCCGCGGUAAU